rnacentral:lncRNA from 1 species
CAUUUAAUACUGCUACAUUUCAUUUGUAGUUAAAGUAAAAUGUACUAUUAUAACAGAGAAUUUUUAGUGGCACUUGUAAUUGUAGUAAAAUAAUCUUUAGGCACAUUUAUAUGAAUAUUCAUAUUGUGUAUUUCUGUUCUUACUGUUGUCGUAGUUAAUAAAUGAUGUUAGAGAGUAGAAGGAGAAACUGACCAACGUCAGGUAACCUCUCCUAAUCAUAACACAGCGCCCCCUUGGAUUUUGUGGGCUGGUAGACGACAGCCUGUGUGGCCAUAAGUGGUACUGCACCCGGCCAAUUACAUUCCGUCACCAUUACUCCGUGUGGGAAUCAGGUGAGAGACAUGUAGUCCAACUAUAUAGUGUAACAGAAAUCCAAAGAUUCAUUUAGACAAAACAAGCGAUGGAAUUACCAAGGAAAACAACAAACAAGAUGGCAGUUCGGAUACAGGUCAUGGAUACACAUCAGUUCACCUGAAGGAGAGAAAAGAAAGAGGAGAGAACUGCAGUUUCACAGAAGCAGCUGGAGUUACAUUGAAGCAGAUGACAGAUCAGGUUUCGGUUUGGAUCAGCUCCUGACUCGUCCAGCUGAAGGUUGAUUAAGGUUUGUGAUGUCAAAUCCUGAAUCACAGAGUGUGAGGGUGGAGCUGAGGUGGUGUGAAGAAUCUGCAACAGCUGACAGCUGAUGGACAGCCAGGUAAAUGGUCAGCCAGUCUCUAGAUGUCCAGUUCCUGUUCUUGACUAAAGCAAAUCCACAUCAACGGUCUUGGUCCUGAUUAGUUCACACGGCCACGUAAACAUAGCUCAAAGAAACAAACUUUCACACAGGCUGCCAGGGUUUACUUAGCACCGCAGCCAAACAAGUCCUUUAGCAAAGAAACAAAAAUGACGUAAACAGACGUGUUGGACCGGAUUUAACACUUCAAACUGCAAAA